rnacentral:rRNA from 1 species
UGGGGAAUUUUGGACAAUGGGCGAAAGCCUGAUCCAGCAAUGCCGCGUGCAGGAUGAAGGCCUUCGGGUUGUAAACUGCUUUUGUACGGAACGAAACGGCGAGCUCUAAUAAAGUUUGCUAAUGACGGUACCGUAAGAAUAAGCACCGGCUAACUACGUGCCAGCAGCCGCGGUAAUACGGAGGGGGCUAGCGUUGUUCGGAAUUACUGGGCGUAAAGCGUACGUAGGCGGUUAUCCAAGUCAGAGGUGAAAGCCCGGGGCUCAACUCCGGAACUGCCUUUGAUACUGGCAAUCUAGAGUCCGGAAGAGGUUAGUGGAAUUCCCAGUGUAGAGGUGAAAUUCGUAGAUAUUGGGAAGAACAUCGGUGGCGAAGGCGUCUACCUGGCCUAAUACUGACACUGAGGCACGAAAGCGUGGGGAGCAAACAGGAUUAGAUACCCGCGUAGUCCCUGAGCGGGCUGGCAAGGCGCAU